GAUGAACGCUGGCGGCGUGCCUCAAACAUGCAAGUCGAGCGAGGCUAUGAGUUACCGCAAGGUAAGGCAUAGCCUAGCGGCGAACGGGUGAGUAACACGUGGGUAACCUACCUGGAAGACAGGGAUAACGAUUCGAAAGGGUCGCUAAUACCUGAUAAUAUCCAUCUGCCGGAUGGCGGAGGGAAGAAAGGGGAAACCCGCUUUCAGAUGGGCCCGCGUCCCAUCAGCUAGUUGGUAAGGUAAAGGCUUACCAAGGCGACGACGGGUAGCCGGUCUGAGAGGAUGUACGGCCACACUGGGACUGAGAUACGGCCCAGACUCCUACGGGAGGCAGCAGUUGGGAAUCUUAGGCAAUGGACGAAAGUCUGACCUAGCGACGCCGCGUGAGGGAAGAAGGCCUUCGGGUUGUAACCUACUGUCAUGGGGAAGAAGGAAGUAGACGGUACCCGAACGAGGAAGACCCUCGCUAACUACGUG
rnacentral:rRNA from 1 species